rnacentral:rRNA from 1 species
GACGAACGCUGGCGGCGUGCUUAACACAUGCAAGUCGAACGGAAAGGCCCUGCUUUUGUGGGGUGCUCGAGUGGCGAACGGGUGAGUAACACGUGAGUAACCUGCCCUUGACUUUGGGAUAACUUCAGGAAACUGGGGCUAAUACCGGAUAGGAGCUCCUGCUGCAUGGUGGGGGUUGGAAAGUUUCGGCGGUUGGGGAUGGACUCGCGGCUUAUCAGCUUGUUGGUGGGGUAGUGGCUUACCAAGGCUUUGACGGGUAGCCGGCCUGAGAGGGUGACCGGCCACAUUGGGACUGAGAUACGGCCCAGACUCCUACGGGAGGCAGCAGUGGGGAAUAUUGUACAAUGGGCGGAAGCCUGAUGCAGCAACGCCGCGUGCGGGAUGACGGCCUUCGGGUUGUAAACCGCUUUCGCCUGUGACGAAGCGUGAGUGACGGUAAUGGGUAAAGAAGCACCGGCUAACUACGUGCCAGCAGCCGCGGUGAUACGUAGGGUGCGAGCGUUGUCCGGAUUUAUUGGGCGUAAAGGGCUCGUAGGUGGUUGAUCGCGUCGGAAGUGUAAUCUUGGGGCUUAACCCUGAGCGUGCUUUCGAUACGGGUUGACUUGAGGAAGGUAGGGGAGAAUGGAAUUCCUGGUGGAGCGGUGGAAUGCGCAGAUAUCAGGAGGAACACCAGUGGCGAAGGCGGUUCUCUGGGCCUUUCCUGACGCUGAGGAGCGAAAGCGUGGGGAGCGAACAGGCUUAGAUACCCUGGUAGUCCACGCUGUAAACGGUGGGUACUAGGUGUGGGGUCCAUUCCACGGGUUCCGUGCCGUAGCUAACGCUUUAAGUACCCCGCCUGGGGAGUACGGCCGCAAGGCUAAAACUCAAAGGAAUUGACGGGGCCCCGCACAAGCGGCGGAGCAUGCGGAUUAAUUCGAUGCAACGCGUAGAACCUUACCUGGGUUUGACAUGGAUCGGGAGUGCUCAGAGAUGGGUGUGCCUCUUUUGGGGUCGGUUCACAGGUGGUGCAUGGCUGUCGUCAGCUCGUGUCGUGAGAUGUUGGGUUAAGUCCCGCAACGAGCGCAACCCUUGUUCACUGUUGCCAGCACGUUAUGGUGGGGACUCAGUGGAGACCGCCGGGGUCAACUCGGAGGAAGGUGGGGAUGACGUCAAGUCAUCAUGCCCCUUAUGUCCAGGGCUUCACGCAUGCUACAAUGGCUGGUACAGAGAGUGGCGAGCCUGUGAGGGUGAGCGAAUCUCGGAAAGCCGGUCUCAGUUCGGAUUGUGGUCUGCAACUCGACCUCAUGAAGUCGGAGUCGCUAGUAAUCGCAGAUCAGCAACGCUGCGGUGAAUACGUUCCCGGG